CGGCGGACGGGUGAGUAAUGUCUGGGAAACUGCCUGAUGGAGGGGGAUAACUACUGGAAACGGUAGCUAAUACCGCAUAACGUCUUCGGACCAAGUGGGGACCUUCGGGCCUCCCGCCAUCGGAUGUGCCCAGAUGGGAUUAGCUAGUAGGUGGGGUAAUGGCCCACCUAGGCGACGAUCCCUAGCUGGUCUGAGAGGAUGACCAGCCACACUGGAACUGAGACACGGUCCAG
rnacentral:rRNA from 1 species